GGUAAACAAGAAAAGCAGAGUAGAAUAGUCUAUUGCAGUGAAUAAUGUGUCUUACAAGAUGAUUGGGGUCCCCUUUAUAUAAGAAGAGAAAACCCUAAUUUGGUACAUUUCCAAUUAUGGCAAAGAAUUCUAUUGGUACAGUUGUACAAUAAUCUAGUACGGACUUGUACUAUUUCAUACAGAUCUUAUCGUAUAAUUUAUGUCAUGAUCCACGUGUUCUUGAGAAAUUCCUGCUCUUUCUAAAGUGUUUUCGAGAUUAUGCUGCCCUCGAUGUAGGUCGUGCCAGGCCUUCGAUCUGCUUCCUCGAGGUGUGUUUCCUUCAACCGGGUCCGACCUUCACUUCGAGUCGCCUAGACUCGGACUCAAAGCCCUAUUUAAGACUUCGAAAUCGGGCUCCUUGAUUUAGCCGUAUACACACAUUUAUGUAGAUUUAUUGUACAAACAAACCAUGCGACUAGAUGUAAUUGAUUUGUCAGUGGGUGGAAAAACUCAUGCUUUUGUUACGUAUUCUAAUUUGUGAAAAAUAAAAAAGGGAAUCUUACGGAGAUGUCUCAAAUAAGUCUUAACUUACCAAUAUCUAAUCAUUAAUUAUAGACUUUCCAAAACUAGUCAAGUACAUAAAAAAUUAAAAACCCAAAUAAUUAAGUAUUUUUUCGCUCCAAAAAUCACACGCAGAGAUCUCCUUCCAUAUUUUUAAGCGUGAUCAGUAGCAUUAAAUGCAAGACAGAUAUAUAUUCCAAAUUUCUAAGCAAAAAGGAUUUUUCAAUGGGUAUGAUUGAAAUUCAUUGAAAAUAUAUACACGAGUCAAUAUACACAAUUUGAAGAAGAUUGGAGGUGAUUUGAACUGAUUUGAUAUCAAAAUUCGUACUAGCUAAAAUCGAGCCUUCUGCGAUACAUGUAUCUCACACAUAGGUAUACCUGGAUAUACAUGUGAUAUACAUCUGAUACAAAUAUGAUAUAUAUGUGAAACACAAAUGAUACACAGUGUGAUACACAUAUCAUCAUUUUUCUUGUUCAUAUUCUACUUCAACUUUUCAAUUCAGACCGCCUCAAAACUCUACUAAAUCAUCCUAACACUGAGAUUAAACUCCUUAAGAUGUAUCCAAUAUAUUCCAACAACACUCACUUAAAAGAAAGUAAAUAUUUGACAUUUUUGGCUACAAAUGUCUAAUAUUGAUAAUUUUUAUGAAUUGGCCAAUUUUUGUACUGUCAGUCUAUCACGACCUAUUUUCUGAACAAGCAAUGGCCGACACUUGAUCAUUAAACUUGAUCGAGCGAAUCAUUUGCACUUAUAAAAUAUUUUAUAACUUCAAACUUUAUAUGUAUCAAAGUAAUACUUUAACCAUAAUACUUUCAAUUAAUUUAAAUAUCUAAAAUAAACCAACUCCAAAACUUUAUUCGUAAUAACUACUAAAAUAAUGCAAAGUUAUUAUAAAAAAACAUCUGAAUCUUAACCCACCGAUUGUGUCUAUGAAGCCUCUACUAAUAAACUGACGCACUGCUCAGGACAUGAGACUAGAUGACUAGUUCUCCAAGUAAACAAAGAAUAACUAAAUAAAGAUGACUCAAAGGAAUACUCCACGAACAAAAGCGGAGCUCACCAAUAGCACUGGAAGAGAGGGAAGUCCUAAUCAUUAGCCUGCUCGCUUGCAAAAUUGGUUCCUAUAUUGUACUGCAGACCAACGUAAGUUCCCAAAAGAGAAUGUUAGUACCAUCCAUUUUACUCAGUGAGUCUCAACUAGGCCCCAUUAAAGCAGAGAAUGAAACUUAAUAAAAUAUACACUACAAGCAGAGAUUCCAAAUGCAUGAAAACAUUAAGCUUCUAAGAAAAAUUCUAAAAUAACUGCAUAACAACAGUUUAUGAAUAUUCUAAAAGAAAUUCUUUUCUUUUUCUUUCUUAUAAAAAAAAUACUUCACUUUAUGCUUCGGGAGAUCCAACUAUCCUGACUUAUUUCUGCCUUAGUCACAUUGUGAUCGGCACGGGUUCAAUCCCGACUUAAUCGAAUAGGCUCAAUCUACGAGGUGCCACUCGCUUCAUGGUUAUUAGUGCUCAUGUAUCAUACCUUAGCCUAGCUAGGCAAAUUCUCAGCAAUGACACCCUCGACAACGACACCCUCGGCAACGACACCCUCGGCUCGUGUGCUCCCUACUUUGACACAAGUAGUUUCAGGAAGUCAACGCCUUGCUUAGGACCCUCGGCCUGGACGAUGACCCCUUCAGAAUAGAGGAUACUCCCAAAAAUCUUUUCUUUCUAAAACUUUUUCUUGUGACUGUUCAAGUCUAAUCUUGUUUGAAAGCCAUCUAUCAAUAUUCGUAACAAUAUUCUUGAGUGUAUACAUAGCAUAAGUAUGAAAUAAAAUUACUCAAAGUACUUUUAAAGUUCUUUCUAACUCUUUAAUUUUUACAUGUAAGAUAAUGUAAUAAAGCAUAAAAUGUGCAAAAUAGAUGCUUAUACUUCUCGAGUAAAAUAUAUAAGUUUUAAAGCAUUUUAUCGAAAACUCUUUAAAGUAUUUUAUCGAACACUUCGUGGGGAUGGUUUUGUGAGUAGAAUCACUUUAGUAGAGGGUUAUAUCCAUUCACCUCAAUUUGUCCUUUCAAGCAAUAAUGUAAGUUUCAAUUCUUGUAAUCAACUCAACGAUCAAAUACUACAAUAAUAAGUCACAAUAAGUGUCCAACUUUCCCAAGGUAUUAAUCUUUUGUCAACCCCAAGAACUUUAGGUUCAACUUCUAAAUUUAUAAGUUUUGGGGUGAGGUCUUGUUCUAACAAUUCUUUACUAUCUGCAACAAUCUUAACCCAUUAUAGUAAUCCAAUAAAAGUGAAGAAUUUAUCUUGUAACACUAAAAACCUAACUCGUACUGAAUGGGUGUUCUUGAGGUUUGUAAAAACUUUCCUAUGAAUUCACCCUAUUAGAAUGUUAGAUUCUAGUGUAUAAUGAUGUUAUAGCUUACAAUACCAUAAAAAGAAUAACCUUAGUCAUGGCCUAAAGAAGGUCCUGCGUGACUACUUCGAUGGGAGAAGCAACGCUGCCUCUGUUUCUUGCUCCUUGAAAUAUCUAUUUUUUUGUUAUGUUGAAUUCCUUGCAAUUGUUUUCCAGCACUUGUCUCUCGUUCCUCCUAAGGCUUUAAGCCUUUUCCUUUUUUUUUCCGUCUUUCAAUAGAUCAUUCUGUGGGCUUUAGGCUCAAAUCUUAGGUGUCUUGCUUUUUCUUUUUUAUUUGACUUAACAAGUAUUUAAUAAUAUUCACUUUUAAUAAUUAAUAAUAUUAAAAUUAUUAAUAUUCCCGAUUUUUAUAUCCAAUAUUUAUAAAUAGAGAAGUAAUUCAAAAGUCAAUCACAGGGGUUUACCUCCCACGUAGCCUCUUUUGAAUCAUGAUUACUCCACAAAAAUUUUACUGGAGACUUUUGUGAUCUGUAAAUACUUCACAAUGCUCGCCAUAUAGGUAGUGUCGCCAUAUCUUUAACGCAAAUGCCACUGUUGCAAGCUCCAAGUCGUGUGUGGGUUAAUUCUUCUCAUGAUUCUUUAACUGCCAAGAAGCAUAAGCAAUAACUUUUCUAUCUUGCGUAAGAACACAACCAAGACCAACUUUGGAAGCAUCAUAAUACACUGUGAACCCACCCGAACCUGUCAGCAAGGUUAACAUAGGUGUAGUGGUCAACCACUUCUUUAACUCUUGAAAACUCUGCUCACAAGCGUCUGACCACUGGAACUUAAUUGCUUUCUAGGUCAACUUAGAUAAUGGAGCAGCAAGUGAGAAAAAUCCCUCUACAAACUUUCUAUAGUAACCAAUUAACCCCAAGAAACUCCUAAUUUCGGUUGGCGUUGUCGGCCUUGGCCAGUUCUUGACCACUUCUAUCCUCUAAGGGUCUAUCUUUAUGUCUUCACUAGAUACAAUGUGGCCUAAGAAUGCACUGACUGCAACUAGAACUCACAUUUUGAAAAGUUGGCAUAAAGUUCAUUCUCCUUCAAGGUCUGCAAGGCUAUCUUGAGGUGUUCUGCAUGAUCUUCCUUGAUCUUAGAGUAUACCAAAAUAUCGUAUAUAAAUACAUUUGUCACACUUCCUUUUUGCCUGCACCCCCCCCCCCCCCCCCGAGAGGGAGUAUAAGGGUCAGUUUCCAAUUAAAGGACAAUCAAAACGGGAUUAUUUCACUUAAAGAUUCAGAGUCGCCACUUGGGAUAAUUUGUGGUGUCCCAAGUCACCGGUUCAAAUCCCGAAUCGAGGAAAGAUUGACUCUGUAUUACAGUCCACGAACCAGAAAUCCGGGUAAGAAAUUCUGUUAACCCGGGAGAAGGUGUUAGGCAUUCCCGAAUUCUGUGGUUCUAGUACAGUCGCUCAACUGUUAUAUUUGGCCUAUUUACUUGAUUUUGAUACAUGUUUUAGCCUAUGGUUCAAUUUUAACUUUGUAACUGCUUUUAUUAAUUAUUUUUAGAAAGAUUCAACGUCGUCUAAAGCACAUCUUGAACCAUGUCACAUAAAUGCACCCGCGGUCCAUGACACGUUUUAUUUGAAGUUGUUUAGAUUUGGAUUUGGGUUACAUAAAUGCACACCCGAGUUUAGGAAGGUAAUUUAAAUUACGCAUCUAAAGCAACUACGUAUUUUUGAACUAAUACUAAUGCAGACUAUUAUUGCUAUGAUAAUAUAGUCACUGUAAUUACCAAGCAGAGACAACCAAUGUUUCCAGAAGCUAAUCAACAACUACCCUUGGAACAUAAAGCCCAAAAUUCUCGUUCCUUCAACUUUAUUAAAUGAUCAAGUGAGACAACGAAGGAAAGACAUUCAUUUUGAAUGCAUCAAAUAUUCAGUAUUCUGUCAAAAUCUUCAAUAUUAACCAAAAGUAAUUCAAGCAAUAAAAUGGUUUAAAAAGAACAACAAGAGAUGCGAACUUCCAACAAUUGAAAUACCAUUAAAACUCUCAAUUUUCAAGUUAGUGCUUAUAUAUCCAAAUUCUCAUACUAACACAGAUUUGAAGUAACAUACACAAAGGCUCAAACUCAUAAAACCAACUAUAACUAAUAAUAUAUAAAAACUCAAAGCAGACACGCAUAAAAGGUAAAACAUUAAAGCAACAGUGACAUGGAUAGUGACAUAAAUCUGAAAUACCCGAAUCAUAGAGAAAUGAAUUAAAGUGGUGAAAAAGAGAAAGAGCCACCUUAAUUGCUGAAAAUCUUCAAAACAUGUGCAUCGCAAAAGGGUAUCCAAAAAUAGCAGUCCUCAAUUGAGCCACGGACCUUAAAAUUGAACCG
rnacentral:lncRNA from 1 species